rnacentral:lncRNA from 1 species
ACGCUCACGCCCUGUGAGGCACGAAAUAAAUAGCAGGACCUGCCCACACUAGGCACACUAGACGAAACACACUCUUCGUCUCCGCCCAACACCCCUCGUCGUCUCUGCGUCCCUCUUCAUCUUCCAUCCUCGGGCCAUUUCCAUUUGCGUCGAGUGAGCGCUAAUUUUGGGCCGUCUCUAUAUUAAGGACGGGCGAAAUAUCAUUUCCGUCCCCGACGACUAUAUAAUUCCCGCGGAGGCGGUCACCGACUCACCGUAAUACCAGUGCUCGAUCGCUCGCUCGCUUCACGAGCUCCCUGGGUCNNNNNNNNNNNNNNNNNNNNNNNNNNNNNNNNNNNNNNNNNNNNNNNNNNNNNNNNNNNNNNNNNNNNNNNNNNNNNNNNNNNNNNNNNNNNNNNNNNNNNNNNNNNNNNNNNNNNNNNNNNNNNNNNNNNNNNNNNNNNNNNNNNNNNNNNNNNNNNNNNNNNNNNNNNNNNNNNNNNNNNNNNNNNNNNNNNNNNNNNNNNNNNNNNNNNNNNNNNNNNNNNNNNNNNNNNNNNNNNNNNNNNNNNNNNNNNNNNNNNNNNNNNNNNNNNNNNNNNNNNNNNNNNNNNNNNNNNNNNNNNNNNNNNNNNNNNNNNNNNNNNNNNNNNNNNNNNNNNNNNNNNNNNNNNNNNNNNNNNNNNNNNNNNNNNNNNNNNNNNNNNNNNNNNNNNNNNNNNNNNNNNNNNNNNNNNNNNNNNNNNNNNNNNNNNNNNNNNNNNNNNNNNNNNNNNNNNNNNNNNNNNNNNNNNNNNNNNNNNNNNNNNNNNNNNNNNNNNNNNNNNNNNNNNNNNNNNNNNNNNNNNNNNNNNNNNNNNNNNNNNNNNNNNNNNNNNNNNNNNNNNNNNNNNNNNNNNNNNNNNNNNNNNNNNNNNNNNNNNNNNNNNNNNNNNNNNNNNNNNNNNNNNNNNNNNNNNNNNNNNNNNNNNNNNNNNNNNNNNNNNNNNNNNNNNNNNNNNNNNNNNNNNNNNNNNNNNNNNNNNNNNNNNNNNNNNNNNNNNNNNNNNNNNNNNNNNNNNNNNNNNNNNNNNNNNNNNNNNNNNNNNNNNNNNNNNNNNNNNNNNNNNNNNNNNNNNNNNNNNNNNNNNNNNNNNNNNNNNNNNNNNNNNNNNNNNNNNNNNNNNNNNNNNNNNNNNNNNNNNNNNNNNNNNNNNNNNNNNNNNNNNNNNCCCGGGCAUCCUGCUGAUCGGAUAAACUUUUCUUCAAGUCACCAAGGGCUGAUUCAGUUUGGAUAAGUGAUUCGUGUUGAAGCAUAUAGUUAAGGGGCAAGUCUCAGAAUUAUUGCAAGCAACAUCCGUGACAGUUGGGGGCUAAUGUAUAAUUUUUUAGACAAAAUUAUACAGUAUCAAGACCCGGCUCAUCUUUUUACUGAUGACCCGGCCCUUGGGGGUUACAGGUCGAAAGUUUUUCAAAUCAUCAAGACCCGGCUCAUCUUUUUACUGAUGACCCGACCCUUGGGGGUUACAGGUCGAAAGUUUUUCAAGUCAUCAAGACCCGGCUCAUCUUUUUACUAAUGAACCGGCCCUUGGGGGUUAAUGAGGAUAAUAUAGUGUACAACAAAAUGUACCUCAUGUUUGUUCUUCAACAUCUGAAGCAGGCUCUUCUCCAUUUCAUAACUCGCCUCCAAACGACUUGCAAAGCCAGAGCAAAGUUCUUUGAAUUCCAGAUUUUCAUAUUGGGAGAGCUUAGCCUUGGAAAGUUCAUGCUCAAGAAUAGGUUGAGCUGAUGAUGAUACAUGCUUCGAUAAAACCAUUGUGGCCGGUUUAGAGAAGCGAGUACCGGUGAUAACUACAGCGUCCGUGUCUUCUGCUGUUGUCAAUGGACUUGGUGGGUUAGGUGCAUCCAUGGUUUCCUUGGGAGAGCUGGGGAGAUCCACUUGAUCUUCAUGUUUGUCCUGGUCCGGGUUAUCCUGAAUCGGCGGCGACUUUUCGAUAGGCUCCAAAGUUGUAAUGGGAGUUGACCCGCCAGUUUUUCUUUUCUUCGCCUGUGCCCUGAAAGGAGAAGGGGCUGUGUUUAAAGGACUGAAAAUUUAUCAUCAUUAAACUAAAAGUAAAUAUUAUCAAAGGUUUACCCAGGGACACGGAUCAUCGGUGGAAGUGCCGACAUUACUGAGUCGCCAGAUGUAGGAGGAGAACUCUGCAAAAAUUUAUACUUCGAAGAUAUGAGCGAGUUACAAAUGCGAUCCAAAAAUACCCGAAGAAGUGUUAUUAAAAGAUACCUCAUUUGGCCUUUUCUUGUUUCUUGUUGGUAAACCGGACACCAGAUCGCCAGAAUGACUUCGAGUUUUCCGAUUUGAGGUGUGUUGUGCUUUCUUCAGAAGAAAAUUUGGAUCCAAACAAGCAUUUGAGUGUGAGAAGGGAACUUUCCCACAAAUUUUCCUGGCCGGCUUAGGUGGAGAAGGAGAUGAGUUGGAGGAAACAUAAAUUACCUCUACAGAAUCCUCCUGGCUUUAAUUGUCUUCAUUCUAUGCAAGAGAUACAGAGGUGUAAAUACAAAGUUAUCAGUAAUUGAUGGCGAGUUAAAAGAGGAUUUUUUACCUCCGAAGGUGCGUCGCCUGACUUGGGAUUCAUCGGCUUCAGAUGGCUCGGUAACAACAGCUUUGCCCUUGCCCUUGGAUUUCUUCUUUGGAGGCGGCCUAGCUUGCUUCAUGGCUGACUUUUUUGGCCUCUUAGACCAAAAUUUAUCACCUUUCUGAAAUGGCAUAUUUUAUAAGAGGUCAUAGUUCAAAUAAGACGUAAGGAAUAAGAGACAAAAGGCGGGUUAAAGUUAUUUACCUUUGGUGCUGGGUUAAUUUUGCAGAAAGGUUUAAUACCUAUUUGGCCGCAUUUUGCGGCGGGCUCGCCGGUCAGCUUCUUGAUGAUGGUUACAAUGUCAUUUUCCAUCAGAGCCGUGUGGAAGUAGCACUGAGGAUGAUCUAGGGUGCCGUCAAAUUCACACAUUAACCCGUCCCGGCGACUUAAAGGGAGGAUACGCCAUUCGACCCAGCAGCGGAUCAAGUCAACUCCAGUAAGGCCGUUGUUUGUCAAAGAUCUUAACUCAGACAAUACUGGGAUAAAGUCUGACUCCUCCUCUUCGGUGAGCUUGUUUGGGAGUUUGAAUAUUUUUGGAAGGCGAUCUUCCCUGUAACCCAAAAGUUUGUUCUCGCCCUCAGGCGAAGUCUCCUAGCAAUAGAACCAAGACUCGUCCCAGCCUUUGGGGUGGCUUGGCAUGGCGAGUGACGGAAAUGGGCUAUCCCUGUGGCGCUGAACAUUGACACCACCAAGCUCCAGGCUGGGGCCAUUGUGAAAUUCUGUUUGGCGAUUUAAGUGGAAGAAGUACCAGAAUAAGGGAACUGAGGGUUCCAUCUGCAAGUAAGCCUCACAAAACACCUGGAACUGGCAUAGAUUGCUUAUCGAGUUGGGCCCUAGAUCUUGGAGGCGGACAUUCAUAAAAGCCAUGGCGUCUGUGAGGAAUUUCGAUCCAGGCGGAUUAAAGCCCCGCUCAAGGUGUUCGACAAAAACAACUAUUUCCCCUUCCUUGGGAUUGGGGAUUUCUUCUCCUAACCCGGUGCGCCAACCGAUAACCUCCUGAGGGUCCAAAUUUCCCGUUUUCACAUAAUCAUCUAGUACAGCAUCAUUAACCUUGGUGGGGAGCCAGUCGCUUUUGAAAACGGCGCCCAUGCUACAAAGGGAUAAAAUUACGGGUGAAUUGACACGCCAAACAUCUACUGAAAAUGGUGAAACAAUUUCAUUUGACUCGCCAAAUAAUUUGUCCGGGUCAGGUUGCCGGGGGCGGCUUAUGAAAUUCUUGCUACUUAAAGGUGCGAUGUUUCGGAGCAUCAGUGGUAUUUGUCAAAAUGGUGAAGUAUGAGGCUACAAACAGAUUUCACUUGACAAGCAAUAGAUUAUGGAUCUACCAGGCAGACGGAAAUGAAUGCGGAAAAGGACUCGAUAUAACAACCUGCGGCUAAGGUGGGGACAGUAAUAUUGAUUUGGUGAAGCCCUAUUCUGAGUAUGCAAGUAGAGGUCGAACAAAUAAAGGUAUGAAGGACAUCGUUGUUCUCGUUAUCAUCGCCGCCAACUAAUCAGGAACAGAUAAAGCCAUUCGGGAGGCACCAAGAACGCAGUAAGGGUGAACUUCAAAAAGAAACUUGGAUCUGUUCUUAAAUGGUAGAAAGCUAACCUGGUGGAUACGACUGGAGACGGUCGACGGUGAUGAACUGCUCGACCGCGACGAGAUGCGCGGACGACGAUGGAGGUCUCGGACGGAUGCGAAAACCUCGGGUGGCGACGAACUGCUCGGCCAUGACGAGGUGCUCGAGGGCGGCGAGACGGUCAAUGGCGACGAACUGCUCGGCCAUGACGAGGUGCUCGAGGGCGACGAAGUCUUCGGGCGGCGCCGAAGCUUUCGGAUGGCGACAAGGUCUUCGGGUGGCGGCGGAGGUCUUAGGAGACGAUGAGGGUUUUUUCGCUGCAAUAGUGGGGAAGAGAAGGGCGACAAGACUGGUAGGUGGAAUGCGCCCAGUCCCUUCCUCCCGCCUAUUUAUCAGGUCGGGCGCUAGGAUCAAGGUGCCACGAGCGGGAACUACCAAAAGAUAAAGAUUCGCCAUGAUGGCGCCCCGAAAUUUUUGGGAUAACGAUACCAAAGGAUUCGUUGGGUAUUACGUCAUUAUCUUUUCCGGGAUUCAAGGGAUAAGGAGGUGCCAACAAGAAAUGGUUUGGCGACUCAGGUUUUUCCAGAACAGAUGGCGGUUUAAGUGCAUGGUGUAUAAGAGCAGUGAAGAUGAAUCACCCUUAAUUGUGUAAGGAUAUUGGCAUGAAGGAAAUUCAAGUCAAUCUGGGGCCUAAUGUUGGGGAUAUUAUCUGUUGAUAACCCGCCCUAGUUGGGCCGGGUCACCAAAGCUGGUGAUCCUUUUAAAAUGUGGUUCGGGCCUUGGCCUGGUAAGGCCGAAGGUUGUAUGGCGGUUUACGACUUCCGAGAAGAGUCCAUAGUAGGAAAGGUAUCCAAGCUUUGGAAAGGUGGCGACUUAGAGAUUGUAAGAGUCACGAUUUGUAAAAAGGAAAGGACCCUUGCAAACCCUAGGGACUCGACCUGUAUAUAAAGGCGAGUCCCAGGGAAGAAGAGGGCAGGUUAGAAAUCAUCGAGUGCUAGGUCUGGCGAGUUACGCCCUCCUUGUAAUCGAAACUCCAUCAAUACAACACAAAGCAGGACGUAGGCUGUUACCUCCUCACGAGGGGCCUAACCUGGGUAAAUCGGCGUCUCACUCCCGUUCAACCCCUUUGAGUCGCCACCAAAGUGCGAUGGCUCCAAUACUAAGUCCUUUCACGAGGACAUCUGCCGUGACAAAACCACGACACCAAGUAAGGCAAUUCGAUCAUAAUUUUUCAGUAUGCAUCAACUUUUUUUUCUUCACGCAAUACAUGAGCGUGAACCAUGAACAUAGCAUAUAGUUGGAAUGGAAUGUGGUGGUAGGUUUCAAAGGGGUAAAAGAGGAGAAGAAAGUCUCGCAUCAACUCGACGUAUCAGCACGCUAUGGAGAUGCCCUUCAAUAGAUAUCAAUGCGAUGAGUAGGGAUUCCAUGCAACAGAUGAGUAGAGCUAUAAGUGUAUGAAAGCUCGACUGAAGCUAAGUGGUUGUGCAUCCAACUUGCUUGCUCAUGAAGACCUCAAACAUUUGAGGACGUCCGUCAUCAGAAUAUAUAAGCCAAGUUCUAUAAUAAAAAAAUCCCACUAGCAUAUGGAAGUGACAAAAAAAUAGACUCUAUAUAUGAAGAACAUGGUGCCACUUUGAGGCACAAGUGUGGUAAAGGAUAGUAGCAAAGUCCCUUCUCUCCUUUUCUCUCAUUUAUUUGUUUAUUUUUUUAUAUGGUGGGCCUUUUUUCGCCUCCCCCAUUUUUCGGAUGGUGGGCUCAUUUGGCCUCCCCCUUUUUUACUUCCUCACUCAGAGAAUGCUCUAAUAAUGAUGAUCAUCACACUUUUAUUUACUUACAACUCGAUAUGAAAAACUGAUAGGAAGAUAUGAGUCUAUAUGAAUGCCUCUGGCAGUGUACCAAGAUGUGCAAUGAUCUAGCAUAGAAAAAUAUAUAAAAAAUGGACAAGCCAUGGAAAUAUCAUGCUAGCUAUCUUAUGAUCAUGCAAAGUAAUAUGACAAUGGAAGUACAAGUCAUAUGAAGUGACAGUGAAAGUUGCAUGGUAAUAUAUCUCGGAAUGGCUAUGUAAAUGCCAUGAUAGGUAGGUAUGGUGGCUGUUUUGAGGAAGAUAUAAUGAGGCUUAUGUGCAAUAGUGCGUAUCAUGUCUCGGGGUUUGGAUGCACCGGCGAAAGCUGCACCAAUCCUUGAGGUGAGAAUGGGAAAUGCACGGUACCGAAGAGGCUAGCAAAUAUGAGGAGGUGAGAUUGCGUAUGUCCAUGGUGUCACAUUAGUCAUGAAGAACUCAUAUACUUAUUACAAAGUUUUAUUAGUUUUAUCAUAAAUCAAAGUACUACUCGCAUGCCCCGAGGGAGAGGGUUGGGAGGAAUUAAGCAUCACGCCACUCCGACUCGAAACAACACUAGGAUUUCAAUGUGGAAUAGAAAUGCUCCCAUAUCAUCACCAUGCCCUUUUAAUAUUUAGAUGAACAAGAAGUUGAACACUUCUUGGUACCGACACUUCUACAAUUCAACAAUGAUGCACUCACACCCUUUCACAUUACUACAUCAGUAUCAUUAACCCACAACUUCUCUUUAAUGUGGUACAUGAAGGUUUUGAUUAUCACUCCUUGAAUAGCUAUUAUUUUUGGACUAGUCUUAUAACCCAUGCAAAUUACAGUCGAUGUUUACUAACUAUCAUACAAACAUAAGUGAAGAACGAGAGUUUAAUUCUUUCUAUAAAAGACCGUUCUCUAAUAAAUAUAAGUGAAGCAAAAGAGCAUUCUACAAAUAAAGGUUUUCUAUAUGUAGAGAAACACGCAUCCAACUUCAAAUGAUAUAAUUGAAGCACAUGAAGCAUUGUACAAAGCCGUACUCAAAAGAUAUAAGUGAAGUGCAAAGUGCAUUAUAUAAAUCAACCACGAACUUUCCAAUACCAAAAUGGUGCAUUGCUAGAAGGAAAAUAAAAGUCAUGUAGCACAUGAAGCAUUUUAUAAAGCCAUACUCAAAAGAUAUAAGUGAAGUGCAAAGUGCAUUAUAUAAAUCAACCACGAACUUUCCAAUACCAAAAUGGUGCAUUGCUAGAAGGAAAAUAAAAAUCACAUGACGCUCCAAGAAUUUACGCAUAUCAUGUGAGCAAAACAAAAACCGAGACAUACCGAUAAUUGUUGAAGAAGAAAGAUGGAUGCCUUCCAGGGCAUCCCCAAGCUUAGACACUUGAGUAGCCUGAAUAAUUACUUGGGGUGCCUUGGGCAUCCCCAAGCUUGAGAUAUUUCCUAUCCUUAUUCUUCUCAUAUCAAUACCUCCUCGAUCUUCGAACAUUCAUCCACACAAAACUUGACAUAACUUUUAUUAGAGAGGUCAGCUCAUAUAACAUCAAAUAUCAUCAAGUCCUGCUAUACCAUUAUUUUACAAUUAUAAUAUAACAUUACCCACUGUAUGCUAUCACAGUUCUAUGGUUGUGAAGUUAAUGGGGCUCAACAAAAAUUCAAAACAUUAGCGCACAAAGCAACUAUAAUAAGAAUGUGUGAAAAACAGCACAUUCUCGAAAGAUGUAGAUGAAACAUAUACUUCUGUAACUCCUAAAAUUCUAAAAAUUUAGGACAUAGUGGGGUUAUAUUCCCGACAAAUCUCAUCACCGUCUACCAAGCCUAGAAAGGAAUUACUAACUCCCCGUGGUGAGCAUCAUGGAAUUAAUCAUGGAGAAGGGUUGAUGAUGACGACGACGACGAAUCCACCUCUCCGGAGGCCCAAACGUACUCCAGAUCAGCCCUCCCGAGAAAGAACAUGAGGUGGCGGCGGCUCCAUCUCGUUAAACGUGAUGAAAACUUCUAGCCUAUUUUUUCUUCAUAAUUAUGAAUUUAUAGGACUGGGAUUAGGGUCAGAGGAGCCACGAGGUGGCCCCAAGCCAACAAGGCGCGCCGAGGGGGUGUCGUGUUAGCUUGGCACCAACAAAUUGCCCCCCUCUCAUGGGUGUUCGCUCCAAUAAUUCUUAUGUUUUGUAGAAAUAAUCCAUAAAAAGUUUCAUCUGAUUCCGAGAACUUUUAUUUCUGCACGAAAACAACACCGUGACAGUACUGUUGAAAACAGCAUCAUUCCUGGGUUAGUUUCAUUCAAAUCGUGCAAAUUAGAAUUCAAAACAGGAGUAAAAGUGUUUGGAAAAAUAGAUAUGUUUGAGACGCAUCAUAUGUUUUUUGAGGGUUAUAGGAUUGUUUGAUCUAAACAGCCAUAGAGGCCGGCACCAAUGAUUUGGGACAUAUCUUGGGCACCCCAAAGGACAUAGUUGGUGCGGGUAAGGGGCUCGGAGGUGUUGUUGUUUAGGCGAGAAGUGAGGGCAGAGGAUGAAGACGACAUGAUUGUAGGAAAGGGAUCUGGCGACGGCUGGAGGUUCUGGCGAUGGUUUUUGAGAACGAUGUGAGAGGGGUGGAUGCGAGCUAGACAGGGUGGAAGAGUCUACCAUCUUAAGAUUGAUGAAAGCAUCUUAACUGUCAUACAUGAUAACCCGGAUGAUAUAUAUUGAUGAUUGCUUGUGUUACAACUUACAAGGUAAUCAGAUGAUGUUUAACCCAAUGAAGAGAUAGUACACGAGGUUGGAGAUAUAGAGAUGAGAAUACAAUCUAAACAGAAUACCUGUCUCUAAUAUAUGUGGCUAGGCAGUCUAACCGAAUGUAACUCUAAUACCUUGUUUUAACAAAAAUAUCCGCUGAAAAUGCUGCUAUUGUGCUCCUUCAUAGUUAGUUCCCAAGUGACCAUGAUGAUUAUGGAUUUGGUCCAUUUUCCCUGGAAAACAUGUUCACAUGUUGCUGGAAAAAGAAAAACUAUAGAGGGGAGGUCCAAAGCAUCAACUGUGUAUGGGCACACAACUCGUUUUUGCUUUCUACAGCAAGCAAAUGGACGUGAUAUAGGGGUCAAAAAUUUGCAUGCUUAAAUUCUACUGUACAAUUCAUGUACAUCUAGUUGACGUAAUAUAAAUUUCGGAUAUUUUUUGGGACGUGCUACGCGUCGGCCGAGCCGUCCGAUUCAUUGAUAGAGCUACUCGUAUCGUUCCUUGUAACACUAUUCUUGUUACAAAACUUUUUAUUCCUGCAACAAGAUCUUUGUUGUAAGAUCUUUUCUUUCAAAUUUUCUACAAGAAAAUCCUUGUUUCAAAAUCAUCUUUUUUUCUAUUUUUCUAUAGCAAGACCCAUAUUGCACAAAACCUCUUUCUUAGUUUUCUGCAGCACGACACAUGUUGUCAAACCACCUCUUCUUUAGUUUUCUGUAACAAGACUCAUGUUGCACAACCUUGUUCCAUAAUUUUCUACGACAACGGUGUUGUUGCAAAAUUUACAAUAACAUCUCCAUUAAAUCUAAUUUUGUGUAACAAAAUCCAUGUUACAAAAAUUACAACAUUAUUUUCAGCUGCCCACGCACUUGCGUAGUCGUCGUUCGGUGUCAUCAUUCUGUAACAACAUCGUUGUUACAAAGAUAAGAUGAGAGAGAGAUAUGUGGUCCAAUAGGACACAUGUCAAGCAACGCAGGCGGUGGAUGCAACUUUUUUGAUCGGCCGGUUGAUCAUAAUCAUUUCUCAUAUUUUUAUUGAUCUGAUGUAUGACCAGCAUAAAACCAUUUUCCUGAAAAUGUUCAUCAAUAUCGUUGCGUGAUGGUCUAGCAUACACCAUCAUGUGCCCAUUCUAUAACAGGCAAUAAAUUGGUCAUCGUCUGUCCUCUGUGCGCCGACCAUGCAUGAUGAUGUACCAUUUUAAUCCUUUUAUAGACCUACUGCUGCGCCAUACGCGAGAACGAACUAGAAGUUGAGAAUUAGUGGUCCUAGUAUGGAUGCUCAUCAGUCAUCAGCGGCACGAUCGACCAUAUUCCAGCAGCUCAUGAGUCAUGAGAAGCUCCUGUCCUACUCCCGAGCCAAUAUAUAGUUGAAUGCAUACGCAUGACAUCUCUCGACUCUAGUUGAUUCGCCCUCUGUGAAUCAUCACGGUCGGUAAAGUUCACCUGAAUUUCACGGGACCAGCGUGUCCGCUACGGCCGGUGUCAUCACUCACGGCGAGUCCGGAGCUGGCGAGGAACCUAACUGUCGCAAUCUUCCACCGACCUGAUCGAUCAGUCAGUCACACCGGUUCUUUUGUGGUUCAGAUGCGCCUUCGCCUCUGCAGAUAUGUUCGUUCCAAACAUGAGAGUACAACGGAACCUUCUGUGCCUAUGUCCUUCUCCCCGACAGUUCAUGCAUUGGAGCACGAUAGGCGUCGAGGUCCAGCGCCCCCCAUGCUGGAGACGGACGCCACCAUGGGCUUAGACAUAUGCAACAACGACGCGAAGCCAAGGCCGGCCGGGGCCAUGCAGCAUGAUCAGCUUCCAUGAAAACAACGUCGCCACUUGAACUAAUUAUAAUCCAUCGAACUCGUGCCACUGCAUCGAGCGUGUGCACAUCAGCCGUCCAGCGUACGUACGUACUGUCGGUCCAGGUCUAGUUGCGAUCCGGCACAUGCCCUGGGCCACCUGCGACGCGUAAGCUUGCGCCUGAACGUAUUCCUAACUGCUGUUCCCGAUCACGCCGAAUGAUCGAUACGCGAACUGGCAUUGACGUGAGCCCACUUACCGGAGCGAGCGCGGCUUGCUUGAUCUGGUCUGGUGGUACUGUGUCAUCACCCGAACGAUCUGGUAGGAUCCAGGGGUUCGAGUCAUGGACAAGGGGAAGAAACCACGGCGCAGUGGGGUUCAGACCAGUGUGGCCUAGUAAGCAGCAAGGGGAUGAUGACAAUGGACAGGGCGGCGUAACAGCGGCGCUCCAUGAUUUGAUGGGCGUGUACGUGAUUUGCUUUGUUGAGAUUGAUGCUGAUAGAGUAUGCCCCCUUAGCUAAUCGCCUUGGGAAUUUCCUCUUUUGAAGCUGAUUUGCUGCAACUUGUUUAAGCACCAUUAUCAGGGUGUUCAUGCAGUGUGAUACCGACGCAUAGGACUUCAUGAUUACAGAUCUCAUCUCGGGACGCAAACAGUGUUUUUUAAGGGGUGCAGUACAUUCCUGUUGGGAUUGACAAUGAGUAUACGAAUUCAUAGAAGAUUUGAUUUUCCACAAGAUGCUUUGACGAUCCACGCAUCGAACUAUGUGUGGAUGACGACUGGCACUGCCUCCGGAUGGGUUUAGAGCAUCUCCAACAUCCAUGCGCAAAUUCAUUCGAUAUAUGUCCGUUUUUAUGUCCGGACGUAAUUCAUGGACAUGAUAAAAUGAAAAAAAUCAUAUAACGCUAAUCACAAAGUAUUCAAUUAAAAGGAGAAAAAGUAGGUAGGAACCAUAUAUAUGAUGAAGAUAUUUAUAAUUUACUGUUUCGGUUGGUGAAAAAGUUUUUUUAUCGGAGCUGUACCGGUGCUAAAUCCACCACAUAUGCAUUUCUUCAUUAAGAUUCGUGUGAUAUAACUGCGUAAAUUAUUUCUCGUUGUGUACACCAUGAAUACAUCCUGACAAAAAGUACACAUAUCUAAUGGAUGCCAGCCUUUUACAGUGGAGAGAGAGUUAGAAUGGAGAAAAAUAACAGUACAUGCAUGCAUUCUCUCUCCCAUGCACUGAACAUGCAUUUUAUUUUCAUUCUGAGAUUUUUAACGAUAUUCAUAUCUUUUGAACCAAAAAUUCAUUAUUGAAAUUUUUAUAUAUUUGAAUUCGUGGUGCAAAGAUCUUUAGAACAAGAUAAAUUUUGGAUAUAUUUGAACUACUUUUUAUUUUAUAUAUUUUAAUUGUCUUUGGAAUACUUUCAUAAAACAUAACACUUUUUCACUAUUUCAUAAAAGGGUUCCCUCCUGCUUUGUAGAUUUCAAAGUAAUAAUUUCAUUCGAUUGAUCUUGUUUCGCAGAUCUCAUAAAACUAUAUUUUUUGAAAUACUAGUUGCACUCAUUUCAAUUUUUUUUACUAAGUUGUGAAAACAAAUUUCACUCAGUUAAAAAUUGAUUUCAAUCAGUGCGAAAACAAUUUUUUUUACUAAGUUGAGAAAACAAAUUUCACUUAGUCCUCUCCCUCUUCUUGGCAGGCCUCUUGGCCAAUGCCUUUGUUUGCUUGGAGAUGUUAGGGGUUUCAAGAGUAAGUCUCACUCCUUUUGUGGCUGACUCAUGAGCUCUCAUAGAAUCAGUGCUAGUAUACUUCUUUUUGAAUGGAAUCCUUUUGGAAGUAUUUUCCUUAGGAAUAAAAUCCGCAUCUUUCUCAUGUGAGUUCAUCUUCUUCUUGGCCCUCGUGGCUGCCUUGUGCAAGUCAUGAGAACAAGGGGUGCCAGGGUCUCAAGAGCUAGCUUCUCGACUAGUGCCAGCAUUAAGAUCUGGACUUGGCUCUCUGAAAGCAUUCUGACUAUCCUGUGAAUCUGACAUGGCUAGGAACUGACCCUGUGAAUAGAUAUGGAGGAGUGGACACGAUGAGCAUCGCAAAAUUCAGACUUUUUGCAAAAUAUGAACUCAAAAACUUUGUUUCAUAUUUCCAUAAUGCGGGGUUCGGUUCCACCGAGUUUCAAAUUCCGGAGUGCCUCAGACAUACAACUUCAUCAACACAAACUUGGUCGUCGUUCUCGAUUUCACCAAAACGUGACUCGAUCUCACCAAAGUUGUUUUCAAAAACCGUAAAACUCCAAAUCGGUGACACCGCUAGGACCUUUCGGUUUCACCGAGAAGUCCUUUGUGCUGUGGGUAACCCACAUCGGUGACACCGAAACGCAUAUAGCGAAAACCUAAACUUAAAUUUUCUUGUUCGUCUAAUUCUACGGGAUCUUCUCGUGGAUAUACAUAUUGCAAAUCGUGGCAAAAUAUCAAAUACGUCCUAAUGCAUGCGAAUCAGACAUGGAGUGCAAGAGGGGUUGGAGAUUUACCCCGAUUGGUUAAAUCUCGUCUAUGGCGGAAACGGCGGGGGCGUUUCCGUUGAUGGCGGCGGAUUCCUAUGGUGAGGGCGCACGGGAAGCAACGACAAAGUCCUAAAGACGAGGGCGGAGGGAGCACUAAUGUGCAGCAGACCGAGGGUUUGAAGAAAUUUUCAAGUUGAGGGGUCGCGGAUAUACAUAUACCCAUCUACUAUCGGUGACAUUGAAAAAUCAAACCGGUUCGACUGAGAUGUUUUCCUUCUUCUUGGCACGGCAACUCGGUGACGCCAAUUUUUUUCAAUCGGUGGUACCAAUAUUAAAAAACCCAGAUCAACCCUAGUGCUUUAGUGGAACCGAGAUGUAAGAGUUGGUCAAACCGAGAUACACUUGGGAGGUUUUGGAAGCCAUCCCUUGUCAAAACGAUAGCUCCAACUGCUACUCACAUAGAGAGUCCAUGAGGUGCUUGCUCAAAUUUUGUGACGAGGCAUGAAUAGAAUUUGAGACGAGAACGCAUAGAUAGCUAGAGGGGUUACUUAGGCAUUCUUUAACUCCCAAUUGGUUAAAAAAAAUUUUCCAAAGAACAACAAGUGUAUGUCCUCGAAUGAAUGAAAAUAUGCAUACCAACAUGCUCACACAAUAAGAUGUCAAAUAAAACAUGGCAAACAUGCACCACCACUCUAGUAUCUACCAAGCACUUUAGCCAUCAUGGAGUCAUAUAUAUAUGAGUAUAUUGACUUAGGAGCCAAGUAAGAAUACUUGAUCAUAGCUCAUACUCGUCGUUUACGCACAAGUGGGGUUGACACUUUUACAUAAAGCUUUCAAUGUGUUCAUAUGUUAUGAGAUGCUUUGACUCAAGUGUUAGAGUAAAGCUCCCCCUUGAUGUGACAUCCCCUUUUACAGGUAUAGACUAACCUUCGGUUUUGUCAUUGAAGAGUUCACGUAGGUGUCGUAGUAGUGAAUUCUCAUAGUUGAUGAAGAUCAUCUUGAGUUGGGAGCUAUCCUUGUUGUUUUAUACUCGUCUCACCUACAUGGUUUAGUCCCACACGGGGAACGAAUACAAGCAUAUCUAUGGACAUGGAAUGAAGAACAUGAAUGAUGAUGUCCAUUGAUACAUUAAUUACCUUGUCCCUUGCUUACCUUUGAGGGAAUGUGUGACUCCUUGAACUAUUGCAUCAGGUCGGAGUUGAUUGCAAAUAGCUCUUUCCAAAAAUGAAUGCGAGUUAACUUUGUGGGCGGAGUCACCGCGCAAGAAGUUCUCUAGUUCUUCUUCUUGGCGACCCACAUCAAUUUGAUGGGGAUCCUUGGAGUUGAGGUAGCCCCUGAUGAAGUAGAGCUAGUAGUAGCCUUGGGAAUCCAUUUUACCAUGGCUUGGGAUUCUUCUUCAAAUAGUCAAUCUCCUCUUGAAGCUUGUCCUUGAACUUGAGCUUGUGGUCUUGUGUUGGAAGGUCAUCUUGAGCAUUUGUUCGCUUGGAUAGAGUAGGAUCGUACUUCUCCUUUUGGGGAACAAACUUCAUUUUGGGAUAUUGCUACUAGAUGAAGAGCCUUACUUUCCUUUCUUACUAGUUUUCUUAGGUUUAACUUGUGGAAGAAAGGUAGACAAGAGUAAUCAUUUGUCUAGAUAAGAAGAACUCUUGCUUCAAAGAUCGUCAUUGAUAGCUUUAACAAACUCAUGUUCUUGCUCUAAAUUUAGCUUCUCGAAAUGUACCUUCUCAUGAGUUCUUAAAGGCUCUAUAUGAUCUUCUUGAGUAGAUUCAUGAGCUAACUUAAGAGUGUUUAGUUCCUUAGUUAGAUUCUCAAUGUUGUUCUUAUCAUCAUCACACAACUUAUCUUGACUAGCAUAAUUAUUAUCAAGUUCACUUUGACUAAUAUCACUAGUUUUAUCAAAUAGUAAGUCUUCAUGUCCUAGUAAGUCAUCCUCAUCACUAUUAAAUUCAAUGUAUUUGGGGUGUGAUACCCUAGGGCCUUUAGCCAUGAAGCAUAUUCCAAUUCCUUCAUUUGGUGAAUCAAACAAAUCAUAUGAGUUGGAGGAAACAAGUGCUAGUACGGCAACACCUUCAUUUUGACUAUAGUCGGAGUUGGAGUGGUAGCUUCUCUCGGAUUAGUUGUCGGAUGCGGAGCCGGAUACCCAUUCACCAACGUGAGCUUGAUGUCUUGAUCUUGUGUAGAUCUUGAUGUAUUUGUCCUUCUUCUAAAAGUCCUUGUUGUUGGGGAACAUUGCAUGGGAAACAAAAAAUUUCCUAUGCACACGAAGACCUAUCAUGGUGAUGAUCAUAUGAGAGAGGGAUAUCGGAUCCACGUACCCUUCUAGAUUGCUUUGCGGGAAACAUUAAGAAACGCGGUUGAUGUAGUGGAAAGUCUUCGCAAUCCAAAUCGCCGCCGUCCCAUGAUCCAUCCCGAUCUAGCACCGAACGGACGAUACCUCCACGUUUAGCACACGUACAGCUCGAUGACGAUCUCAGCCUUCUUGAUCCAGCAAGAGAGACGAAGAGGUAGCUGAAUUCUCUGGCAGCACGAUGGCGUGGCGGUGAUGAUGGUGGAGCUAAUCCGGCAGGGCUUCGCCGUGGCGUAUCAAACUAGCUACAAGGUGUCACGAAGUAGUGGAGGGAGAGAGGGCUGCAUAAAGGCUUGAGGUGCAAAAACCCUCUCAAACCUCCACUAUAUAUAGCAAGAACAAGGGGGAGGGUUGCUUGCCUCAUACUCCAAGGAGGAGGAGUCGGCCGAGCCAAGAGGGAGGAGUCCUCCUCCAAUUAGGUUUGGUGGAAGGACAACUUCCCAUCUUGUCCACCUCCUUCUCUUUUUUUCUUUUCCUUCUUCAUUUUUUCCUUGGCCGAAAUAGGCUUAUUGGCCUGGCCUCACCAGCCCACUAAGGGCUGGUGCACCACCCAUGGGCCUAUUAGGUCCUCUCUCGGGUGGGUGGCCCCUCCCAGUAAAACCUCGGAACCCAUUCAUCACUCCCGGUACUUUAUUGGUAAUGCUCGAAAUCUUUCCGGAAGCCAAAUGCAACAUUACUAUAUGUCUAUCUUCAUUUCCGGACCAUUCCGGAUACACUCGUGAUGCCCCGGAUCUCAUCCGGGACUCCGAACGAUAUUCAGUUACCAACAUCAAUAAUUCAACUAUACCGAAAACGUCACCGAACCUUCAGUGUGCAGACCCUACGGGUUCGAGAACUAUGCAGACAUGACCUGAGACACUCCCCGGUCAAUAUCCAAUAGCGGGACCUCGACGUCCAUAUUGGAUUCUACAUAUUCUACGAAGAUCUUACAAUUGAACCUCUAUGUCAAGGAUUCACACAAUCAUGUAUAUCAUUCCCUUUGUCCUUCGGUAUGUUAGUUGCCCGAGAUUCGAUCAUCGGUAUCGACAUACCUAUUUCUAUCUCAUUUCCGGAAAGUCUCUUUACUCGUUUCGUAAUACAAGAUCCCAUGGCUAACUCUUUAGUCACAUUGCUUGCAAGGCUUGUUUGUGAUGUUGUAUUACUGAGUGGGCCCUGAGAUACCUGUUCAUCACACGGAGUGACAAUAACAAGUCUUGAUCUUGUUAGAAAUAUGCCCUAGAGGCAAUAAAAAAAUGGUUAUUAUUAUAUUUCCUUGUUCAUGCUAUAACUGUAUUAACCGGAAACCGUAAUACAAGUGUGAAAACAUGGACCACAACAUGUCCCUAGUGAGCCUCUAGUUGGCUAGCUCGUUGAUCAAUAGGUGGUCAUGGUUUCAUGAUCAUGGACAUUGGAUGUCAUUUAUAACGAGAUCACAUCAUUAGGAGAAUGAUGUGAUGGACAAGACCCAAUCCUAAGCAUAUCACAAGAUCGUGUAGUCCGUCUGCUAGAGCUUUUAUAAUGUCAAGUAUCAUUUCCUAAGACCAUGAGAUUGUGCAAAUCCCGGAUACCGUAGGAGUGCUUUGGGUGUAUCAAACGUCACAACGUAACUGGGUGAUUAUAAAGGUGCACUACAGGUAUCUCCGAAAGUGUUUUUUGGGUUGGUAUGAUUCGAGAUUGGGAUUUGUCGCUCCGUUUGACGGAGAGGUAUCUCUCGGCCCACUCGGUAAUGCAUCAUUAUAAUGAGCUCAAUACGACUAAGGAGUUAGCCACGGGAUGAUAUGUUACGGAACAAGUAAAGAGACUUGCCGGUAACGAGAUUGAACAAUGUAUAGGGAUACCGACGAUUGAAUCUCGGACAAGUAUCAUACCGGUAGACAAAGAGAAUUGCAUACGGGAUUGAGUGAAUCCUCGACAUCGUGGUUCAUCCGAUGAGAUCAUCGUGGAACAUGUGGAAGCCAACAUGGGUAUCCAUAUCCUGCUUUUGUUUAUUGACCAGAGAGAUGUCUCGGUCAUGUCAACAUGGUUCCCCGAACCCGUAGGAUCUACACACUUAAGGUUCGGUGACGCUACAGUUGUUACGGGAAUUUUAUAUGUGGUUACCGAAGGUUAUUUGGAGUCCCGGAUGAGAUCCUGGACAUCACGAGGAGUUUUGGAAUGGUCCGUAGGUAAAGAUUUAUAUAUGGGAAGUCCGUUUUCGGCCACCGGAAAGGUUUCGGGGUUUAUCGGUAUUUUACCGGGACCAUCGAAAGGGUACCGGGGGUCCACCGGGAGGGUCCACCUGUCCCGGAGGGCUACAUGGGCUGAAAGGGAAAUGCACCAGCCCGUGGUGGGCUAGUGCGAGGCAAGAAGGAGCCCCAAGGCGCAUGGGGGGCCAAACCCUAGGCGUGGGGGCUGCCUUGGGUGGCCAGCCACCCCUAGGGCGCCCCCUCCCGCAUCUAGGGCUGCCGCACCACCUAGGGUUUCCCUCUCCCUCCCUCCUAUAAAUAGUGGAGGUAUUGGGAGGGCUGCAUACACACACGUCUCUCUCUCCCUCGGUGACACCCUACCUCUCCACCUCUCCUCCUCUGCGGUGCUUGGCGAAGCCUUGCCGGAGAACCACAAACUCCAUCGCGACCACGCCGUCAUGCUUCUGGAGUUCUCCCUCAACUUAUCCUCCCUCCUUGCUGGAUCAAGAAGGAGGAUAAAUCCCCGGGCUGUAGGUGUGUUGAACGCGGAGACACUGAAUGUUUGGUGUUUGGAUCAGAUCUCCGCGAGUACGACUCCAUCGACCGCGUUCAUAGUAACGGUUCCGCUUUGCGAUCUUCAACGGUAAGAAGAUGCUCUUCCUCACUCGUUGCUGGUUUCUCCUAGAUGAUCUUGGUGUAACGCAUGAUUUUUUUAGAAUUAUUACUAAGAUCCCCAACAAUGGCAUCCAAGCUAGGUUCUAUGCGCACAUUCUAUGUACGAGUGGAACACAAUAGUUGUGGGCGAUGAUUUGGUCAAUUUGCUUACCGUUACUAGUCUUAUCUUGAUUCGGCGGCAUCGUGGGAUGAAGCGGCCCGGACCGACUUUACACGUACUCUUACGUGAGACUGGUUCCACCGCACGACAUGCACUUGUUGCAUAAGGUGGCUAGCGGGUGUCUGUCUCUCCCACUUUAGUCGGAUCGGAUUCGAUGGAGAGGGUCCUUAUGAAGGGUAAAAAGCAAUUGGCAUAUCACUGUUGUGGCUGUGACGUAGGUAAGAAACGUUCUUGCGAGAAACCCAUUGCAGCCAUGUAAAACUUGCAACAACAAUUAGAGGACGUCUAACUUGUUUUUGCAGGGUAUGCUAUGUGAUGUGAUAUGGCCAAAACGAUGUGAUGAUAUGUAUGUGAUGUAUGAGAUUGAUCAUGUUCUUGUAAUAGGAUUCACGACUUGCAUCUUGAUGAGUACGACAACCGACACGAGCCAUAGGAGUUGUCUUAAUUUAUUGUAUGAGAUGCAACGCCAUGUGAUUACUUUACUUUAUUGCUAACCGUUAGCCAUAAUAGUAGAAGUAAUAGUUGCCGAGACGACUUUAUGGAAACACAAUGAUGGAGAUCAUGAUGAUGGAGAUCGUCAUGCCGGUGAAAUGAUGAUCAUGCCGUGCCCUGAAGAUGGAGAUCAAAGGCGCACAAUGAUAAUGGCCAUAUCAUGUCACUAUAUGAUUUGCAUGUGAUGUUUAUCAUGUUUCUAUAUCUUAUUUUCUUAGAACGAAAAUAGUAAAUAAUAUGAUCCCUCACUAAAAUUUCAAGAAACGUGUUCCCCGUAAGUGUGCACCGUUGCAAAGGAUCGUUGUUUCGAAGCACCACGUGAUGAUCGGGUGUGAUAGAUUCUAACAUUCGCAUACAACGGGUCUAAGGAAGAUUUACACAUGCAAAAAACUUAGGUUGACUUGACGAGCCUAUCAUGUAGAGACAUGGCCUCGGAACACGAGAGAUCGAAAGGUCGAACAUGAGUCAUAUGGAGAUAUGAUCAACAUGGAUAUGUUCACCAUUGAUGACUAGUCCGUCUCACGUGAUGACCGAACACGUCCUAGUCGAUGUGGAUCAUGUAUCAUGUGGAUGACGGCAGAGAUGUCUAUCUGAGUGGGAGUUCAUUAAAUAAUUUGAUUAGAUGAACUUAAUUAUCAUGAACUUAGUCUAAAAUUGUCUUUACAAUCUAUAUUGUAGACCCAAUGGCCAAUGCACAUGUCCCACUGAACUUCAACGCCUUCCUAGAGAAAACCAAGCUGAAAGACGAUGGAAGAAACUAUGCAAACUGGGUCCAUAACUUGAGUAUCAUCCUCAUAGCUUCCAAGAAAAUUUAUGUCCUUGAUGCACCGCUAGGUGAAGCACCUGUUUUCCCGGUGGCUCAAGACGUUAUGAACGCCUGACAGUCGUGUAGUGAUGAUUACUCCCUGGUUCAGUGCAGCAUGCUUUACAGUUUAGAACCGGGGCUUCAAAAGCAUUUUGAGCAACAUCGAGCAUAUGAGAUGUUCCAAGAGCUGAAACUGGUUUUCCAAGCUCAUGCCCGGGCCGAGAGAUAUGAAGUCUCCAACAAGUUCUUCAGUUGUAAGAUGGAGGAGAAUGGGUCUGUCACUGAGCACAUACUCGGAAUGUCUGGGCUGCACAACCGCUUGUCUCAGCUGGGAGUUAACCUUCCAAAUGAAUCGGUCAUUGACAGAAUCCUCCAAUCGCUUCCACCUAGCUAUAAGAGCUUUGUGAUGAACUACAACAUGCAAGGGAUGGAGAAGACCAUUCCCGAGUUGUAUUUAAUGCUGAAAUCAGCGGAGGUGGAAAUCAAGAAAGAACAUCAAGUGUUCAUGGUGAAUAAGACCACCAGUUUGAAGAAAGGCAGGGGUAAAAAGAAUUUCAAGAAGGACGGCAAAGUAGUUUUCGUGCCCGGUAAACCAGCUGCCAGGAAGAAGCCAAAGAAUGGACCCAAGCCUGAGACUGAGUGCUAUUAUUGCAAGGGAAACGGCCACUCGAAGUGGAACUGCCCCUAGUGCUUAGCGGAUAAGAAGGCCAACAAUGUCAAAGGUAUAUAUGAUAUACAUGUUAUUGAUGUGUACCUUACCAGCGCUCGUAGUUGCUCCUGGGUAUUUGAUACCGACGCAGUUGCUCAAAUUUGUACCUCAAAACAAGAGCUGCGGAAUAAGCGGAGGCUGGCGAAGGACGAGGUGACGAUGCAUGUUGGGAAUGGUUCCAAGGUCGAUGUGAUCGCCGUCGGCACGCCGCCUCUACAUCUACCUUCGGGAUUAGUUUUAAACCUUAAUAAUUGUUAUUUAGUACCAGCUUUGAGCAUGAACAUUGCAUCGGGAUCUCAUUUGAUGCGAGAUGGCUACUCAUUUAAAUCUGAGAAUAAUGGUUGUUCUAUUUAUAUGAGAGAUAUGUUUUAUGGUCAUGCCCUGCUGGUCAGUGAUUUGUUCUUAAUGGAUCUCGAACGUGAUGUUACACAUAUUCAUAGUGUGAGUACCAAAAGAUGCAAGGUUGAUAAUGAUAGUCCCACAUACUUGUGGCACGUCCGCCUUGGUCAUAUCGGUGUCAAACGCAUGAAGAAACUCCAUACAUAUGGACUUUUGGAAUCUCUUGAUUUUGAAUCAUUUGACACAUGCAAACCGUGCCUCAUGGGCAAGAUGGCCAAGACUGCGUUCUCCGAAACAAUGGAGCGAGCAAUCAACUUGUUGGAAAUAAUACAUACCGAUGUAUGUGGUCCAAUGAGCGUUGAGGCUCGCGCUGGCUAUCGUUAUGUUCUCACCCUCACUGAUGACUUAAGCAGAUAUGGGUAUGUCUACUUAAUGAAACACAAGUCUGAAACCUUUGAAAGGUUCAAGGGAUUUCAGAUUGAGGUAGAGAAUCAACGUGACAAGAAAAUAAAGUUCUCGCGAUAUGAUCGUGGAGGAGAAUAUUUGAGUCGCGAGUUUGGCACGCAGUUAAGAAAAUGUGGUAUUGUUUCACAACUCACGCCACGUGGAACACCUCAGUGUAACAAUGUGUCUGAACGUUGUAAUCACACUUUAUUGGAUAUGGUGCGAUCUAUGAUGUCUCUUACUGAUCUACCGCUAUCAUUUUGGGGAUAUUCAUUGGAGACUGCCGCAUUCACUUUAAAUAGGGUACCAUCUAAAUCCGUUGAGACGACACCCUAUGAAUUAUGGUUUGGCAAGAAACCUAAGUUGUCGUUUCUGAAAGUUUGGGGAUGCGAUGCUUAGGUCAAGAAACUUCAACCUAAAAAGCUCGAAACCAAAUCGAAGAAGUCUGUCUAGAUAGGAUACCCUAAGGAAACUAUUGGGUAUACCUUCUAUCUCAGAUCCGAAGGCAAGAUCUUUGUUGCCAAGACUGGAUCCUUUUUGGAGAAAGAUUUUCUCUCGAAAGAAAUGAGUGGGAGGAAAGUAGAACUUGAUGAGGUAAUUGUACCUCCUCUCGAACCAGAGAGUAGCGCAGCGGAGGAAAAUGUUUCUAGGGUGCUUGCAACGGCUAGGGAGGAAGUUAAUGAUGAUGAUCACGAAACUUCGGAUCAAGUUACUACUGAACAUCGUAGGUCCACGAGGACACGUUCUGCACCAGAGUUGUACGGCAACCCUGUCAUGGAAAUCAUGUUGUUGGACAACAGUGAACCUUUGAACUAUGAAGAAGCGAUGGCAGGCCCGGAUUCCAAAAAAUGGCUUGAAGCCAUGAAAUCCGAGAUAGGACCCAUGUAUGAGAACAAAGUAUGGACUUUGGUGGACUUGCCCGAUGAUCGGCGAGCCAUAGAAAAUAAAUGAAUCUUUAAUAAGAAGACUGACCCGGAUGGUAAUUUGACCAUCUAUAAGGCUCGACUUGUCGCUGAGGGUUAUCGACAAGUUCAAGGAAUUGACUAUGACGAGACUUCCUUACCCGUAGCGAUGCCGAAGUCCGUCCGAAUCAUGUUAGCAGUUGCUGCAUUUUAUGAUUAUGAAAUCUGGCAAAUGGACGUCAAAACGGCAUUCCUUAACGACUUUCUUAAGGAAUAAUUGUAUAUGAUACAGCCGAAAGGUUUUGCCGAUGCUAAUAAGGCUAGCAAUGUAUGCAAGCUCCAGCGCUCCAUCUAUGGGCUUGUGCAAGCAUCUCGGAGUUGGAACAAUCGCUUUGAUGACAUGAUCAAAGCGUUUGGGUUUGUACAGACUUAUGGAGAAGCCUAUAUUUACAAAAAAAGUGAGUGGGAGCCGUGUAGUAGUUCUCAUACUAUAUGUAGAUCACAUAUUGUUGAUGGGAAAUGCUAUAGAAAUUUAGGAAAGCAUAAAGUCCUAUUUGAAUAAGUGUUUUUCAAUGAAGGACCUUGGAGAAGUUGCUUACAUAUUAGGCAUCAAGAUCUAUAGAGAUAGAUCGAGACGCCUCAUUGGUCUUUCACAAAGCACAUACCUUGACAAGAUAUUGAAGAAGUUCAAUAUGGAUAAGUCCAAGAAGGGGUUCUUGCCUCUAUUGCAAGGCGUGAGGUUGAGCACAGCUCAACGACUGACCACGACAAAAGAUAGAGAAAAGAUGAGUACCGUCCCCUAUGUUUCAGCCAUAGGCUCUAUUAUGUAUGCCAUGUUGUGUACCAGACCUGAUGUGAACCUUGCCAUAAGUUUGGUAGGGAGGUACCAAAGUGAUCCAGGAGUGGAUCACUGGACAACAAUUGUUGGGGAUAUUAUCCCAUUAUAAGACCCGCCCUAUGGGGCCGGGUCAGGAUAAUGGAGACUCUACCCCUAUGGACAAGGUGGGCCAUUAUUAAGAAGCGGAAGGCGCCAGAUGAGACGGCCUGCCCAAGACUGAGCUAAGGCGACUUGCAGCCCAUGUGGGGAAAGAGACACCAAAAGUUUCCUUGCCUGGGAGACAAGGCGAGUUAGAGAUAGACCGUCUUAUGAAUUGUAAUGAGAGUUGGACUCUUGUAAACCUAGAGCUUUGACCUGUAUAUAAAGGCGAGUCUCUAGGGCUGAUAGGAUUAAGUUAACAUCAAUCGAGAGCUAGGUCCGGCGAAUGCGCACCCUUGUAAUCGAUUCCCACAGCAAUAUACACAAAGCAGGACGUAGGCUUUUACCUCAAUCUCAGGGGCCGAACCUGGGUAAACUCAUCUCCCGUUUCCCGAUCAACCCCUUUGAGUCGCCACAUAGCUGCGAUGGCUCCAUCACUAAGUCCUUUCACGAGGACAUCUGUCCUGACAAAACCACGACUGUUGGCGCCCACCAUGGGGCGUGCGCACGGUGGAGUUGGGUUCUCAAAGGGAGCCCUUCCAGGGUUCGGGAGCUAUGCGGUCGGCCUUAUGACGAAGAGUCAUCACGGAAAGUACUACAUCGACAAUUCAAGCUGGAUCCCGAGGCCACAUUGAUCAAAUCCGGGUACCGGGUCCCCUUCCGCAAGAUCCAUGUCUUCAUCGGCAACAUUGGAAUGACGGUUCCCGAGCUGGACACCUGCACUGACCUCGUCGAGCCGGCUCGGUUCGCCCAACCCGCCACGGGUUAGCUUGGACGACGUCGCGUCUUUGUCAGCUUCACGCAAGGAGCCGCUUGAUACGUCUCAAACGUAUCGACUUUUACAAACACUUUUGCUAUUGCUUUGGCUCCAUUCUUGCAUGAUUUGAAUGAAACUAACCCGAACUGAUGUUGUUUUCAGAAGAGCUGGCUGUCUGGUUUUCUUGUGUGCAGGAAAAUGAAUAUUUAAGUGUCGUGGAAAAUUCUGAUAAAAAAUAGAGAAAAUCCACGCACCGGAAGGAACCAUGGGCCAGAAGAUGGGCCACAGGGGAGCCUCAGGGGCUCCAGGCGGCAUGUGGGCACGGCGUGCCCUCUGGCUGCGCCGGGAGGCUGCCUGGGAGGAGUCCCUCUCCUCUGCUACACUACUUUGGCCCCAAUUUUUACCCGUGACGAGGAAAUUCCAGAAUAGAAGUCGUUUUGCAAGUUCUUGACGCGGAGCCGCCGUCACCCUCGGUUCUUCUCCGGGAGAGCUAAUCUGGAGGCCGUCGUGGCCUCCGGAGAGGGGAAAUCGUCGCCAUUGGCAGCACCAUCACCACUCCAUCGUCCUCCCAUGGCUUCUCCCAUCAUGUGUGAGUAAUUCCCUGCUGUAGGUGAAGGGGAUUGGAGAUAUUGGAUGAGUUAGAUCAUGUAAUAGUUCAUCGGAUUGUUGGGGGCAUGUUGCCUAUCAUCUACUAUGGUGUUUAUUAUCUUUGCUACUACUUGUUACUCUUAAUGCUUGUCACUUUGGGCCCAAGUGCCAUGAUUUCAGAUCUCAAUUCAUUAUAUUUUCAUGAAUAUAUUUGUGUUCUAGAUCCUAUCUAUGAGUAGUAUGCACCUAUUAAAUCAGGAACCGGCGAUCCCAAUGGUGACAACUUGGGACACCAAAGGGGAUGGAUUAUAGUUUGAGGAUUCCAUGUAUCCAUUGAUUGUUAAUGCUUUGUUCCGGUGCUCUUUGACAGGAGCACCUUAAUCUCCAUAAGUUCCUUUUGGCCCCGUUGAUAGCGGGAUGGUAGGACAAAAGAUGUUGUGCAAGUUCUUAUUGCAAGCACGCACGACUACCUCGGGAUACAUGCCUAAUGUUUGAUAUAUGCCUAGAUGAUCAUUACCUUUCUAUGUGCCUUGCCCCAAGUUAAAUACAUGAUAUCUCUCAUCCAUGACCAACCAUCAUCUCCCUAGCCUACAGUGUUUUAAUACUACUAGUUACAAUUUGCUUUACUUUCGCCGUUUUACUUUCGUCGCUUUGCCACUAUUAUUUCCAUUGUCACAAUCACUUCCAUAUCACUGUUGCUACUAAUAUUUCGUUGCCAAGCAAGUAUCUUUUAGGUGCAGUUGAAUUGACAACUCAACUGUUAAAGCUUAUAAAUAUUCUUUGGCUUCCCUUGUAUUGAAUCAAUAAAUUGGGUUAUCUUACCCGCGAAAACUGUUGCGAUCCCCUACACUUGUGGGUUAUCAAGACCAUUUUCUAGCGCCGUUGCCGGGGAGCAUAGCUUUAUUUACAAGUCUAGUUGGAGUUAUUUUGCUUGCUGCAAUUUAUUCACUAUGGGUAAGAAAGGUGACCCAAAGGUUCCAAUUUUACCACCCACUACGAGAAAAGGAACUGUUCUCAGCACUAGUGCUAAGCUUGAUUCACCUUCCGUUAUGAGUAAGUUAGCUUCACCACCACCACAUGUUGCUUCUACCGAGUCCGUUACUAUGCCUGAUACUUUUGAUGAUGCUUCCACUACCAUUGAUGAGCCUGGUUUAGUUGGUUAUUUUAUUGAGAUUCAGAUUGCUAGGGCUGCUAAGCAGUCUGGAAUUGAACUUCCUGUUACAGGCUACCCCAUUGGUAGAUCUUUUGGCUACCCAGACUUGAGUGGUAUCAAGGAAAGAAUUCUUGACAAUGAUUAUAUUGAACUUGAUGAUAAUUUAUGCAGGGAGCUUAUGGAGUGUGCUGACUCUGACCCUGCUUCUGUUAGGAAGCUGUUGGAAAAGCAUUCUAUGAAAAAUAAAUUUAGUUGUGAUCCUGAAUUUGCUUCAUCUCCUAUUUGCCUUAAGGAUGCUGAUUUUGAUUUCUCUGCUGAUCUUUCACUUAUAUCCAGAGUUGAAGUUGACCCCUUUUAUGGCAGAGAAGAUGACGAUGCUAUUGCACACCUGACCAAACUCACUGAUUUAGGUGGAUUAUUCACUACAGAGGACAAGAAGAGAAACUAUUAUGUUACUAAGCUACUUCCAUUCUCUUUGAAGGGAGAUGCUAAAGCAUGGUACGAUGCACUACCAUGUGGUUCCAUUAUGAGUCCUCAUGAUUUAGCUCAAUGUUUUGUUGCUAAAUAUGUUCCUGCUCAUAAGAAACAUGCUGCUUUACAAAGAAUAUAUAAUUUUAAACAGUUGCACGAUGAGCACCUUCCUAAAGCUUGGAGGAGGUAUUGCACUCUACUUAAGGCUAGACCGUUACAUGGNNNNNNNNNNNNNNNNNNNNNNNNNNNNNNNUGAUAUAUUUUAUGAUGGUCUAACCGAUCAAUCUAGAACCUAUGUGGAUAGUUUUGCUGGUUGUGUUUUCAGGGAAAGAACACGGGAUGAUGCUGAAGAAUUAAUGGGCAAGAUAGCUAAGAAUCAUGAUGAUUGGUCCGUUCCUGAACCACCUCCACCACCUAAGAAGAGGGGCAUGCUUUUCUUGAGCCCUGAAGUUAUGCAAGAAGCUAAGAAGUCUAUGCAAGAGAGAGGUGUUAAAGCUGAAGAUGUGAAGAAUCUACCUCCUAUUGAGAAAUUAUGUGAGCCUCCUACUCGCCCACCUAUGCUAGAGGUACACUCUCUUUUAGAAUUCAAUGCAAGUGACAUCCCUCAUGGUAAGCCCCCUGGUCAAUGUUUAGAUGAGCUUGAUAAUUUUAUUGUCAAGCAAAAUAAUUUUAAUGAGAGGAUUCAAAGCCAAUUGCACGAUAAUUCCCUUGCUAUCAAGAAUUUGCUCGAUGUUCUAAGUAGAACUAUUGAUGAUGUUAAAGGUCUUGUUAAGCAUUUUCAUACGGUUCAAACUCAGCUUGAACAAAUUUCUAAUGUGCAAAAAGAUUUGCUUGCUAACAAUGCCAAACAAGUUGAUAUGUAGGCAUAUGGUAUAAAUACCUGAGGUGGUACACACACCGAGGACCCUCUCUAUCCACAAGGGCAUCCAAAGAGGAUUGAGAAAGAUUCUCAAAUGCAGGAAGAAGACAUUAUCAGCUCACCUUAAAGAAGAAGAAACACAAGGAAGCUGACAAUUCCAAUGAUCCCAUAAUUAAUGAAGAUCCUAUUGUUGAUCCUAAUAGUAUAUCUAUUUUCGAUGCUGAAACUGAAGAUGGUGCUGAACCUGAUAAAGAUAAUGAGAAGAAAUAUCCUCCUGAAGAACAAGAAAAAGAAGCACCACACAAGCGUAAGAGGUAUACUAGAGAAGACUUUGUUGCAAGAAAACAUGGGAAGGAAAGAGAACCAUGGGUAUAGAAAUUAAUGCCCUUCCCACGUAAGUCUUUCAAAACCAGAGAAGAAGAGCACUAAAAUAAAUUUUGUGAAUGGAUGAAGCCUCUUUUUCUUCAAAUUCCUUUGACUGAUGCUAUAAAGUUGCCUCCGUACUCGAAGUAUAUGAAAUAUAUUGUUAUUAAUAAAAGAAAAGUUCCUAAUGAGGCAAUAUCCACUAUGCUUGCUAAUUAGAGUGGUAAGAUUCCUGAGAAGCUUGGUGGUCCAGGUAUACCCACCAUUCCUUGCUCCAUAUAAAAUAAUUAUGUUAGAACUGCUUUAUGUGACCUUGGUGCAGGAGUGAGUGUUAUGCCUUUCUCACUUUACAAAAGGCUCUGUCUAGAUAAUCUAAUCCCUACAGAUAUCUCUCUUCAAAUGGCAAAACUCGGAUCCACUCGGAGACCAGUCCCGAGUGACGUCUGCCUCGAGCACCUCCACCUUCCCCCAGUUAAAGAAGAUCCUUUCACAGAGGAACCAGUACAACCAAAGAGCUUGACAGAUCCGACUGAAGUCGACGUACUUGCUGUGGUUGAUCUGAUCAUGGAGAUUCUUGCUGUCAUCCCCGAUUGGACUGUGUCGAUCAUCGCAUAUAUCCUGAUGCAGGAGUUACCAGAAGACGAAGUCCAGGCCAGGCAGAUAGUCCGCAGGUCGAAGUCGUUCACUGUCAUUGAUGGCCAGUUGUACAAGGAAAGCGUUUCAGGCGUUCUUCAACGAUGCAUCUCCCCAGAGGAGGGACAGUUGAUCCUGGAAGAAAUUCACUCGGGAACCUGCGGUCAUCAUGCCUCUUCAAGAGCAAUCGUCGCCAAAGCAUUCUGAGCUGGCUUCUUCUGGCUACAGGCAAACGAAAUGGCUAAAGAUAUGGUCUACCAAUGUGAAGGCUGUCAGUUCUACUCCAACAAGUCCCACAAGCCAACAUCUGCGUUGAAGACAAUCCCUCUUGUGUGGCCGUUUGCAGUAUGGGGAUUAGAUACAGUCGGUCCAUUCAGGACAUGCCAAGGAGGAUACACACAUCUGUUGGUAGCAGUCGACAAGUUCACAAAAUGGAUUGAAGCCAAGCCCAUCAAGAAGCUCGACGCCCUAACAGCCAUCAAGUUUGUCAGGGACAUCAUCUCCAGAUUCGGGGUACCUCACAGCAUAAUCACGGACAACGGGACAAACUUUGACUCGGACAGAUUCAAAGGAUUCUGUGCAAGCCAAGGUAUCCGAGUGGAUUUUGCAUCUGUGGCGCAUCCUCAAACAAACGGACAAGCAGAGCGGGCGAAUGGACUUAUUCUGCAAGGUUUGAAGCCCCGGCUCCUGCGAGAGGUGGGACAUGCCGCUGGCGCAUAGGUCACCGAGCUAUCUUCAGUGCUUUGGGGUCUCCGCACAACCCCGAAUAGAUCUACAGGGCGAUCACCGUUCUUCCUCGUUUACGGAGCAGAAGCGGUCCUUCCGAGUGACUUGCUCCACAAUGCUCCACGAGUCGAACUCUUCUCCGAAGCUGAAGCAGAACAAGCAAGGCAAGACGGAGUGGACCUUCUAGAGGAGGAGCGCGAGAUGGCACUGACUCGCUCAACCAUUUAUCAGCAAGAUCUGCGGCGUUUUCACGCGCGACACGUCAGGAGUCGUACAUUCCAAGAAGGCGACCUGGUGCUCCGAGUGGGUAAGCAAAGACCUCACAAGUUGGCUCCCUCCCGGGAAGGACCCUUCAUCAUCUCCAAGGUGCUGAACAAUGGAGCAUACAGACUCUACAACAUCGGCAGGGAAACAGAUGAGCCGCGAGAAUGGAACGGAGAUCUCCUGAAGCGCUUCUACACGUGACCGUCGACUGAAGCUAUGUAAAGAACAAGUAUUGGUGAAAUAAUACAAAGCAGAUUGUUUUUGCAGAUUCAAAAUUCUUCCGCGGUCGCAGACUCUCGUCUCAAAAAAAAACUUAGCUGCAAUCGAGAAUCGCCUAAGUACUGACUUUCUCCGAGUGUGCACUAAACGUCGCACUAGGGGACUUAGCUGCGAUCAAGAAUCGCCUAAGUACUGACUUUCUCCGAGUGUGCACUAAACAUCGCACUCGGGGACUUAGCUGCGAUCAAGAAUUGCCUAAGUAUUGACGUUCUCCGAGUGUGCACUAAACGUCGCACUCGGGGACUUAGCUGCGAUCCAGAAUCGCCUAAGUACAAACUUUCUUCGAGUGUGCACUAAACGUCCCACUCGGGGACUUAGCUGCGAUCAAGAAUCGCCUAAGUACUAACUUUCUCCGAGUGUGCACUAAACGUCGCACUCGGAGACUUAGCUGCGAUCAAGAAUCGCCUAAGUUUCUCCGAGCGUGCACUAACCGUCGCACUCGAGGACUUAACUGCGAUCAAGAAUCGCUUAAAUAAGAAAGCUUCAUUCGAGUGUAUCCUACCGAUACACUCGGGGACUCAGCAGACCCUCAUUGAGGCUCAUAUGGAUGUCAAGACCACUAACAAUUACAUGAGUAGCAGACCCUCAUUGAGGCUCAUGUGGAUGUCAAGACAACUGACAAUUACAUGAGUAGCAGAACCUCAUUGAGGCUCAUGUAGAUGUCAAGACCACUGACAAUUACAUGAGUAACAGCCCGUUCCGAGUACGACCUUACAGCCGCACUCGAAGACUUAGCCGCGAUCACGAAUCGCCUAAGUACUCUAUUGCCUUCGAGUGUAUCCUGCAGGUUCACUCGGGAACUCAGCACACCCUCAGUGAGGCUCAUGCAGAUGUCAAGACAACUGACAAUUACAUGCUCCGCAUGUUUGCCAUUGGCUUCACCAAGAAACGCCAAACAAAAACACGAGCCAAAUUCGUAUCAGCAACUCUUUGGCAAAAGAAGAGCAAACGGUUCGAUUCAAAUUCAAAGUUCACCUAAGGAUAGUUGGCUCGGUGUCGAUCAUGCUUAUCCACACCGAGCCAAGAAUGUGAUGGCCAACAGCAGUGGCCAAAGUUUAUUACAAUCAACACUCGGCAUAUCGAGGUAAAAAAUUUCUCAAACGUCGUCAGGACUGGUGAUGGGACUAGCAGGCUCUACGAACGUAUCGAGGUCGAUCCUGUCGGCGAUGCGGGUGGAGCUCUCAAGGAAGGUCUCCAUGCAGUCUUCGAAUCGAAGCUUUUUCGUGUUCGCGACCUGCAACGCCUUCAGCUUCUCUUCGCGCACCUCCUUGCAAUGCACUCGGACCAGAGACAGAGCGACGUCCGCACCACAGCGAGUCGCAGACUUCUUCCAUGACUGCACUCGGUUCGGGACCUCCUCCAGCUGACUCAUCAAGCCUUCCAUCUCGUGCCGAGACUCGUCUUCAGGCCAAAGCUCCUUGUCGAUUCGGCCGACGACUUCUCUCAGUCGACCGAUGAAAGGUCCAACUUUGCCCAGCCGAAUGUGCGCUCGGAGCAGUUCUCGAUUGGCGUCCUCGCCGAGUGGAAUGUUCUCAAGCAUCGACCGUUAAACGUCAGCUGUUUCAACCUCAGCGUCCAUGCAAAAAUCUGCAAAGACAGGACGACCAAUCAGUCAGCGCAGAGUGAAAUUCACGGUCCACAAGGACUCGGAAAAACAAGACUUACCACCCAGAAGCGCUAUCAUCUUCCGGGCCCAAUCACUGACGUAAUUUUCCUGUGCUAUGCACCGCCUGUUCAGCAUCUUCAUCUGCCCCAUCAGCUCCGUCCUUUGUUUCCCCAUUUUCUCCACCUCAGCAGUCAAAGCCUUGUUCGCCUCACGGGCCUGCUCCAACGACUUUUCUCGUUCCGCCAGAACAUGCUUCAUACCAGCCAUUGCAACCAAUGCUGCAUCCAGUUCACCAGCAAACUGAACCUUUUCAGCCCUAACAGUCUCGUACGUUGUCCCCAUCUCGCAAGUUUUCUGCUAGUCAGCACCAAGAGACGGUCAGACAAAUUCAACAAUAAAAAAUCUAAGUUCUUCACACCCCUGCCGACGCAAGCAGUCGACUGCGGUCUCGGGGACUACACCCAGUGGGUUCACUAAGAGUGACCCCACUCGCAUGAAACUCAAACAGGUCCGCCCUAUUGAGCGACAUGACAACACCUAAGCCUAUGAGGCUACUACUACCCGACCUGAGCAAAAUUACUCUCGGGGACUCAUUCAGUAGGAGCACUCCGAGUGCCCCAACUAUCAGCAUUCGAACAGAUUGAUUUUUGAUCUGCUCAAGUCAAAGAAAAUGUGUAUUAAGACAACUGCCGGUGCAAGCACCCGAUAGAAGUCUCGGGGACUACACCCACUGGGUUCACUAAGAGUGAACCCAUUGCAAAAAUCUUACAAUAUCCGAGCACACCCAGUGGGUUACAAGAGAAAAGUAAGUACUUACUAGCCCACUUACUCGGAUAUCGUCUCGCAGUUCCAAACUUCGCUGGUACAGGGACGCGAUGGAGUCGUACGCCUUCUUGGCCUCUCCCGCCAUCAGCUCUGCCUGCACCAUGGCCCCCUUGGCCGCUCCCACCUGAUCCUCCGGGAGGCGCUGGACGUUGUACUCGACAGUCGACGGGCCUGGGCCUGGCAUCGUUGGAGGCUCCUUGGGCAUCCCAAGGCCCGCUCCAGUCGAUUCAGCAGCAACCAGCGCUGUUUCAGUCGACGGCAUCGCCUCAGUCGGCGGCACGUCCGCGGCGAGAGCAAUUACUGGCGGAACAGCCUCAAGGACAGGCACUGCAGCUUGCUCAGACCUGCCCUGGUCACCCUCAUCCACAUAAAUCGCCCCUGAGGGAGACCCGACCGAAUGGUGUGAGAUCACAGGAAAAAAGGCAAGACCGAAGACAGAAUUCGCGAUGCAAUAAUGUAAACUUUCAGAUUCGCUACGACGCACCUGGCUGGGACGAGACAACAUUAUCCAUGUCCAUGGGAUCAUCCCCCUGGUGUGCCGGAGAGGUGGCAGAGGUAGCAACUCUGACGAGUGAAAUUCAUUCGACCAAUAAAUAGGAGUUCAAUCGAAUAUCGGAAGAAGUUAGAAGAACAAUGCACUUACGUUGAGGUGACGGGAACGAUGACCCUCAUCCGCGGCAAAGCCUUCCGAGGUUUAGAUCCGCUCGGUUUGGCCACCUUGGAAGGCUGACCCGCAGGCUCAACAGCUGCGUCCCUGGUCCUCUUGAUGCUCCGAGCACUCAGAACCACGGGAACAAUUAGCGGGGCGCUCGGGACAGUAGGAGCGGUUGGCGGAGCACUCGAGGAUGCUGGAGGGGCCGAGGGAGCCGCAGGUUCAUGUCGGCGUUCGGUUCGAAGCUCUGGUGGCCCCCCCCCCUCCUCUUCCCCAGACUCCUCCUCCGUCUCCCCACUGUCGGAGACGUACUCGACGCUCUCCACGCUGCCCUCCUGGCUGCCCUCCUCCUCCUCCUCGGCCGGGUUCCCGUUCGAGACAGGAGAGAACCAAUUGGUCCACUUCUGCAUAAAAUAUAGUCGGCGACAUCAGACAUCAGACAGUGAUUCAAGAAAGUGAUAAAUCUAAGACAGUUAUGUGCACUCAACAAGUUGUACUCACCUCGUUCGGAGGAGGGUUGUUCGCGCAGAAAGCCCUCACUCGCCGGGACCCUCUGGGGUUCUCACAGGCGCCUGUGAUCUGGAGCACCCACGACGCCACCGUAUCCCCGGUCACGCACUCGACGUUGGUCCGAGUGGAGUCUUCGGGCCCCGUGUAGUGCCACAUGGCGUGGUCUCGGGCCUGCAGUGGUUGGAUGCGCCGGCCGAGGAAAACCUCCAGCAAAUCUAUGCCGGUGACUCCCCUUCUGACGACUUCUACGAGUGCGUCGACUAGAGGCUGGAUAUGGAUCUUCUCCACCUUCGUGAGCGCGAGCUGCUUAGGCGGAGCUGGUCGAUCUAAGCUAAAAGGAGGCAACCCUGUCGUGGCAUUCGGGCAAGCAACGUCCUGGCAGUAGAACCAUGUCGACUGGCAGUUCCUAACCGAUUCACUCAGCUGAAGAGCGGGAUAACUACUUUUGCUCUUCUUUUGGAAGCCUAAGCCUCCGCAGAGCUGGAGAAGGUUGGUCUUAUCAUCCGACUCAUUAAGUCGUUUGAUAGUUUGGGAUCUAGCAGAGAAGAUAUGUUUGAAAAGCCCCCAAUGGGGAGGACAGCCGAUGAAGCACUCGCACAAGACUACGAAAGCAGAGAGAUGAGCUAUGGCAUUCGGGGAAAAGUGGUGGAGCUGCACCCCGAAGUGGUUCAUUAUGCCUUUCAAGAAAGGAUGCGGGGGCAGGGAGAAACCUUGAUGCACGUGGCUGAGCAGCAGGACGCGCUCCCCCUUCCGGGGCGCCGGCUCGGUCUCACCAUCCGCCAGCAACCUCCACGACUUGUGCGCGAUCAUCCCGUGAUCCACCAGCUCCAGCAGGUCCUCCUCCGUCACCGUGGAGGGGAGGAAGUCCCCCUGGAUCCACCCCGCCGGUAGCGUUCGCUGCCUCCGCUGAGCACGAGCCGCCGCCUUCCCCCUCUUCUUCCGCGCCUCUAGCUUGCUAGUCUGCCCCUUUGUCAUGGCGGAAGCUGCGGAUUCGCGAGGGAGAAGGAGAAGGAAGAAGCUUGGUGUGCGCGGAGGAUGGCGAGGGAGGCAGAGCAAAGGCAAGAUAUCCGGUGAGCGUAACGAAAAACCCUCGCCGCUGAGGUUUAAGUAAGGUUCCGACUGGGUCGCUGGCAAGUGGCCCCGAAAUCUUAUCCCCCGACCGGCCGCGGCAAUAUCAGUGGAGAAGAUGAAGGCGCGGGAUUCGGGGCGUCAGGCACUAAUCGAGCGUGAUGCCAUCAUCCCCGUUGAGCGCGCGGUAANNNNNNNNNNNNNNNNNNNNNNNNNNNNNNNNNNNNNNNNNNNNNNNNNNNNNNNNNNNNNNNNNNNNNNNNNNNNNNNNNNNNNNNNNNNNNNNNNNNNUCUCAAACCUUUUCAACUUUCACGCAAUACAUCAGCGUGUGCCAUGGAAAGAGCACUAUAGGUGGAAUAGAAUAUGGUGGUUGUGGAUAAGACAAAUAAAAGAGGAGAUAGUCUCACAUCAACUAGGCGUAUCAACGGGCUAUGGAGAUGCCCAUCAAUAGAUAUCAAUGUGAGUGAGUAGGGAUUGCCACGCAACGGAUGCACUAGAGCUUAUAAGUGUAUGAAAGCUCACAAAAGAAACUAGUGGGUGUGCACCCAACUUGCUUGCUCAUGAAGAUCUAGGGCAAUUUUUAGGAAGCCCAUCAUUGGAAUAUACAAGCCAAGUUAUAUAAUGAAAAUUUCCCACUAGUAUAUGGAAGUGACAACAUAGGAGACUCUCUGUCAUGAAGAUCAUAGUGCUAUUUGAAGCACAAGUGUGGAAAGAGGAUAGUAGCAAUUGUCCCUUCUCUCUUUUCUCUCAUUUUUUUGUGGGCUCUCUGGCCUCUUUUUUAUUCUUAUUUUUAUAUUUUUAUUUUGGUGGGGAUCUUUGGCCUCAUUUUUGUAAAUGGGCUUCGCUCGCCUCUUUUAUUUCCUCACAUGGGACAAUUCUCUAUUAAUAAUGAUCAUCACACUUACAACUCAAUACUUAGAGCAAUCAUGACUCUAUAUGAAAUGCCUUCGGUAGUGUACCGUAGCAAUGACAUCAAAAAAUGGACAAGCCAUGAAAACAUCAUGCUAGCUAUCUUACGAUCAUGCAAUGGCAAUAUGGAAGUGGUGGCACAUGUCAUGAGACGGAACGGUGGUAGUUGCAUGGCAAUAUAUCUCGGAAUGGCUAUGAAAAUGCCAUAAUAGGUAGGUAUGGUGGCUGUUUUGAGGGAGGCUAUAUGGUGGGUGUAAUGCACCGGCGAAAGUUGCGCGGUACUAGAGAGGCUAGCAAUGGUGGAAAGGUGAGAGUGCGUAUAAUCCAUGGACUCAACAUUAGUCAUAAAGAACUCACAUACUUAUUGCAAAAGUCUAUUAUUCAUCGAAAGAAGCUAUACACGCAUGCUCCUAGGGGAAAGGUUGGUAGGAGUUAAGCAUCGCGCGAUCCCGACCUCCACACAAAGGAUGACAAUCAAUAAAUAAAUCAUGCUCCGACUUCAUCAUAUAACAGUUCACCAUACGUGCAUGCUACGUGAAUCACAAACCUUAACACAAGUAUUUCUAAAAAUACACAAUUACUCAGUAGAAUGACUCUAAUAUCACAUAUUCAUGUCGCAAAACUAUUGCAAGGAAUCAAACAUAUCAUAUUUAGUGAUCUACAAGUUUUAUGUAGGAUUUUAUGACUAACCAUGUGAAUGACCAACUCCCGUUAACUCUCUAAAUAGGUAUAAGUGAAGCAUGAGAGUUUAAUUCUUUCUACAAAAGAUAUUCCCCGCUCUAACAAAUAUAAGUGAAGCAAAAGAGCAUUCUACAAAUGGCGGUUUUCUAUGUGUAGGGAAACAGACAAUCCAAACUUCAAAAGAUAUAAGUGAAGCACAAGAAGCAUUCUAUAAAGCCAACCAAGGACUAUCUCAUACCAGCAUGGUGCGGGGGUAAAAAGAAAAAAUAAACACAAAAGACGCUCCAAGCAUUUGCACAUAUCAUGUGACGAAAUAAAAUAUAGCUCCGAGUAAAAUUACCGAUAGAUUGUAGACGAAAGAGGGGAUUCCUUCCGGGGCAUCCCCAAGCUUAGACGCUUGAGUCUUCCUUGAAUAUUACCUUGGGGUGCCUCGGGCAUCCCCAANNNNNNNNNNNNNNNNNNNNNNNNNNNNNNNNNNNNNNNNNNNNNNNNNNNNNNNNNNNNNNNNNNNNNNNNNNNNNNNNNNNNNNNNNNNNNNNNNNNNAAACCUGAAAAAAUAUACAACUAAACAUCGACAUGAUCACUGUGUGUAAAAUUUUAGGCCCAAAUACUUUGAAACGCGACCCAUAAAAAAUAAAUUCAUGACCUAAAAUGAUGAAUAAUAGCAUGUAUUAAAAAGUAUCAGAUUUGGCUUUUUUGCAUUGCCCUCAUUUUAAAGUAUUUCGUUUUAAAAAUUUACACACUUAUGUAUUAUACCUCCAUCUAUUUAUGUAUUUUUGAUUUUUUUUUAAAUGUUAAAAUCCGAAUUUUUAUGAAAUUUUAAAUUUUCUUUUGACGGUCUACAUGGAACCCGGCCUCCAAAAGCAAUUUCCAUGAUUUGAAGCAUCUAUAAUUUCUACUACUAUAAUUUUGCCCAGUUUAAAUAAAGUUACAUGUCAAUAGAAAAAAGUUGGCUACAAGCCAAGAACACAGGUCGAUGACGACUGCUGAGAGAAGAUGCCGGCCGUACAGAGAAUAGAGAGACAUGCCCGCAAGAAACAAAAGAAAAAAAAAGAGGAGAGAGAGACGGUGAUCUGCAGAUUCUUUGAGCACACCCACGCUCACGCCCUGUGAGGCACGAAAUAAAUAGCAGGACCUGCCCACACUAGGCACACUAGACGAAACACACUCUUCGUCUCCGCCCAACACCCCUCGUCGUCUCUGCGUCCCUCUUCAUCUUCCAUCCUCGGGCCAUUUCCAUUUGCGUCGAGUGAGCGCUAAUUUUGGGCCGUCUCUAUAUUAAGGACGGGCGAAAUAUCAUUUCCGUCCCCGACGACUAUAUAAUUCCCGCGGAGGCGGUCACCGACUCACCGUAAUACCAG